GCUGGCGGCGUGCCUAACACAUGCAAGUUGAGCGGUAAGGCCCCUUCGGGGGUACACGAGCAGCGAACGGGUGAGUAUCGCGUGGGUAAUCUACCUAGAGGUGGGGGAUAGCCUCGGGAAACCGAGGGUAAUACCGCAUAAGUCCUCGACGGCAUAAGUCGAUGAGGGGAAAGGCGGGGAUCCUUCGGGACCUGUCGCCUCCGGAUGAGCCCGCGUCCGAUUAGCUUGUUGGUGGGGUAAUGGCCUACCAAGGCGACGAUCGGUAGCCGGCCUGAGAGGGUGAACGGCCACAUUGGGACUGAGACACGGCCCAGACUCCUACGGGAGGCAGCAGUGGGGAAUUUUGGGCAAUGGGGGAAACCCUGACCCAGCGACGCCGCGUGGAGGAUGACGGCCUUCGGGUUGUAAACUCCUGUCAGGUGGGAAGAAGAGCCAGUCGGUUAAUACCCGGCAGGAAUUGACUGUACCACCAAAGGAAGCCCCGGCUAACUCCGUGCCAGCAGCCGCGGUAAUACGGAGGGGGCAAGCGUUAUUCGGAUUUACUGGGCGUAAAGCGCACGUAGGUGGCA
rnacentral:rRNA from 1 species